UACGUAGGCAGCAAGCGUUGUUCGGAGUUACUGGGCGUAAAGAGUGCGUAGGCGGUCCUGUAAGUUUGGUGUGAAAUCUCCCGGCUCAACUGGGAGGGUGCGCCGAAGACUGCAGGGCUUGAGUAUGGGAGAGGUAAGCGGAAUUCCUGGUGUAGCGGUGGAAUGCGCAGAUAUCAGGAGGAACACCGGUGGCGAAGGCGGGUCUCUGGGCAACAACUGACGCUGAGGAGCGAAAGCGUGGGGAGCGAACAGG
rnacentral:rRNA from 1 species